GAGAAGAACGUAGCGAAAUGCGAUAAGUAAUGUGAAUUGCAGAAUUCAGUGAAUCAUCGAAUCUUUGAACGCACAUUGCGCCCCCUGGUAUUCCGGGGGGCAUGCCUGUCCGAGCGUCAUUACAACCCUCAAGCUCAGCUUGGUAUUGGGCCCCGCCGCUCCGGCGGGCCCUAAAGUCAGUGGCGGUGCCGUCCGGCUCCGAGCGUAGUAAUUCUUCUCGCUCUGGAGGUCCGGUCGUGUGCUCGCCAGCAACCCCCAAUUUUUUUCAGGUUGACCUCGGAUCAGGUAGGGAUACCCGCUGAACUUAAGCAUAUCAAUAAGCGGAGGA
rnacentral:misc_RNA from 1 species